rnacentral:rRNA from 1 species
AUUGAACGCUGGCGGAAUGCUUUACACAUGCAAGUCGAACGGCAGCACGGACUUCGGUCUGGUGGCGAGUGGCGAACGGGUGAGUAAUACAUCGGAACGUGCCCAGUCGUGGGGGAUAACGUAGCGAAAGCUACGCUAAUACCGCAUACGAUCUACGGAUGAAAGCGGGGGAUCGCAAGACCUCGCGCGAUUGGAGCGGCCGAUGGCAGAUUAGGUAGUUGGUAGGGUAAAGGCCUACCAAGCCGACGAUCUGUAGCUGGUCUGAGAGGACGACCAGCCACACUGGGACUGAGACACGGCCCAGACUCCUACGGGAGGCAGCAGUGGGGAAUUUUGGACAAUGGGCGAAAGCCUGAUCCAGCCAUUCCGCGUGCAGGAUGAAGGCCCUCGGGUUGUAAACUGCUUUUGUACAGAACGAAAAGGCUCUGGUUAAUACCUGGGGCUCAUGACGGUACUGUAAGAAUAAGCACCGGCUAACUACGUGCCAGCCGCCGCAGUAAAAC